CCCGGCCCAUGUAUUCACGUUAGCAGCAGCCAUGGCUGUGGACUGCCCCAGAGGUCCCGUAAGAUAGUUUAUAAGAUUGGAUCCUAUGCCACAGAGAAAAAAGGAAGAGCAAAUUAUGGUUUCUGGUGCUUACCUAUGAUGAAAAUUGCAGAUCUCCAACCACCGGAGAUGGAUCUCUUGGACGGAUAACCUUGAUGAUCAACGGAGCCAUCGACCGUGUCUUCCAGGAGGGGAGAUUCCAGGCUUUGGAGCAUGUUAGCCAUGGCCGAGUUUCAGCAAAACACAGUGACCAGAAGGGAGAUUUUCUCCUUUCAACCACUUCUCUUUUCCAAACUGCGGGUGAAGUUGUGUAUACUGUAUUUGAGGGUCAUGUUUCUUGUAUUUUAAUACAUCUUUCGCACAUCACUGGUUUAGACCAUGUGAAGACUGUCUUGUCCUGUUAAUUUAUUUUGCAUCAUUUUUUAAUUCAUUUGGAGAAUAUGAUUUUAUUUGGAAGAAAGACUAUUAUGAAUUUGCUUAA